UCCAGACUCCUACGGGAGGCAGCAGUGGGGAAUAUUGCACAAUGGGGGAAACCCUGAUGCAGCGACGCCGCGUGAGUGAAGAAGUAAUUCGUUAUGUAAAGCUCUAUCAGCAGGGAAGAAAAUGACGGUACCUGAGUAAGAAGCCCCGGCUAACUACGUGCCAGCAGCCGCGGUAAUACGUAGGGGGCAAGCGUUAUCCGGAUUCACUGGGCGUAAAGGGAGCGUAGACGGCGGCGCAAGUCUGGAGUGAAAGCCCGGGGCCCAACCCCGGGACUGCUCUGGAAACUGCGGCGCUGGAGUACGGGAGGGGCAGGCGGAAUUCCUGGUGUAGCGGUGAAAUGCGUAGAUAUUAGGAGGAACACCAGUGGCGAAGGCGGCCUGCUGGGCAGCAACUGACGCUGAGGCGCGAAAGCGUGGGGAGCAAACAGGAUUAGAUACCCCAGUAAC
rnacentral:rRNA from 1 species